CAUGUAGGAAUUGAUGAGCUGCUGGUGAGGACCUCAGCUGGAAUUCUGCCAUGAUUGAGCUCUCUGUGAAGGCAGACCAUUCUCACAACAUGUUGGCUACAUUCUAAUGGUAGGCAUCCUAAGAAAGAGAGCCAGAUAGAAUCCAGGCCUCUUGUGACUUAAGCCUUAGAACUCAUACAACAGGUCCUGGAGUCAGUGGAAGAGCACUUGCCUACAAUGCACAAGGUCCUGGGUUCAAUUCGACACUACCAACCAACAACAGCAAAAACUAAAGGUAAAUAUCAUAUCCAAGUACAAUUGAUUAGUGCCAAACUGGCAUAAGGACCCACAUCUAAGUCAAAGGUCAACUCACAUGGACUAGGCAAGUUCUCGGAUUCUCUGGAUUUGGGUUUAUAUGAGGCUUCUCAGAUAGCUGCAGAAGUACAGAAAAUGCAGAGCAUGGCGAAGCUGAGCUGUAAUUCAGAAGCCAGGUCUAGUCAUGGAGCUCUAGUCACCAAGUGAUGUCAAAAGAACCUGAUGACUCCCCAACAAAAGUAACUGAUGGCUAUCACCUUUCACCCAUCUCCAUCCACGGCUUCAGUUCACUUGUGUCAAACAAGUUUUGUUGUUGUUUAAGAACGGAAAGAAAGGCCUAAGAAGAUGACUCCCUAAGAAAAUGACUCGGUGGAUGCUCUGACAUCUCUGACAUCUGCAGUCUUGCCAGUGAAUAGAAGGAUGUACGCCAUCCUUGGAACAUUAUUUCACAGUGUUGUUGCUCUCUGUCCAUAGGUUCAAGAAAGUGCCAGCAUAGAAUCUCUGAAAACCACUAGAAGCUCCUGGGAAGAAAAUUUCGCAGCUGAGAGUCAGGCCUUCAAAAGGGCUGUUUCCCUAGAAAUUUCAAUGGGUGCAGAAAACCACUGUCACUGAUCACUCGGUGUCAGAGUGAACCAAAGGAGUUUUGCUUUCAAAAUGGAAAAGCCUUUGAAAAUGCCUUCUUCAAGCUAUGGUUUCCUUCUUAUGCCCGCAUGAGGAUGAUUCUUGAAAAGGAUGCAGCAGUUAAAGGGGAUUCUUGAGAUCUUAUCCUGAAUAGAACACUGGCAUGCAGUCACCCAGAAGUUUACAGCUAUGAAAGCCUUACAAAUCUCCACUGUCACACAGCCCAGCGUGGACUCGGAUCUGCAUUCAAAGGUCAAUCAGCCCAGAAUCCAAAAAUAACUGCAGAGUUAUGUGCAGGAUCUUCAGAAAUGUCAAAAAGGAAUUCAAUCAUAAUGGAAGACCAAAUUCUUAGGCUCCUCUUUCCAUAGCUCCUUAUCUUGCACUGUGCUGAGUUAUCCCCAAGAAUGUUUCUUCACACUGCCAGGAGCGUCCAAUCUUCAUUGCAACACAAUGGCAUCGUCUACAAAUCCAUGCUUGAGAAUCAUGUA
rnacentral:lncRNA from 1 species